rnacentral:rRNA from 1 species
UAGGGAAUCUUCGGCAAUGGACGAAAGUCUGACCGAGCAACGCCGCGUGAGUGAAGAAGGUUUUCGGAUCGUAAAACUCUGUUGUUAGAGAAGAACAAGGACGUUAGUAACUGAACGUCCCCUGACGGUAUCUAACCAGAAAGCCACGGCUAACUACGUGCCAUCAGCCGCGGUAAUACGUAGGUGGCAAGCGUUGUCCGGAUUUAUUGGGCGUAAAGCGAGCGCAGGCGGUUUCUUAAGUCUGAUGUGAAAGCCCCCGGCUCAACCGGGGAGGGUCAUUGGAAACUGGGAAGCUUGAGUGCAGAAGAGGAGAGUGGAAUUCCAUGUGUAGCGGUGAAAUGCGUAGAUAUAUGGAGGAACACCAGUGGCGAAGGCGGCUCUCUGGUCUGUAACUGACGCUGAGGCUCGAAAGCGUGGGGAGCAAACAGG